CAGAGGGAGAAGCAGGCUCCAUGCACCGGGAGCCCGACGUGGGAUUCGAUCCCGGGUCUCCAGGAUCAUGCCCUGGGCCAAAGGCAGGCGCCAAACCACUGUGCCACCCAGGGAUCCCUCCCUGUUGGGUUUUAAAUUAUUCUUGGAUUGCCUCAGAGACUUCCCCGGCCCUGUCAACCCAGGAAGCAAUAUACUGAAAAGAGAAAAUGUAACCUUGUUCACAUACUGAGCCUGGUGUCUUGUGACGGAGAAAAGAAGACAUGAGCCACAGAGCCCCAAAGUGCAGAAAUCGGACAUGAGCAAGUGUGGAGUUCGCCGUGCCCACCUCGGUUUCAGGGGCCCGCGUGAGGAGGGAAGGCUACUUGCUUCUCACCUACACCUUCUCCCUCCUGCCCGUGUCCACCUUCAGUUCCUAACAGACUCCCGGGGCUCUUGGUCCAGUUUGUACAGCCCGACUAGAAGUUUUUCCAUAAUUCUGCAGUGCGAAAUGAAUACGGCGGGGAGGACCCCGCGUGAAAGCAACUGGAGGUUCACGAGCAAAGUUAGCGUCACAUACUUGCUGUAAUCAGCUCCUCUUAUACUCGUGUUACAGGCGAGGAGCCCGAGGUCCAGAGAGGCCCAGUAGCUCUGCCAAGCUCACCCAGAUGUUUAUGGCACAGCCAGGACUGGGACCCCAGUGUUUUCUUGGGAUGUUGGUUCCUUCACUCUCCUUCACUUCUAAAUACAAAAGCUCUCCUGGCUGUGUGUGGGGGGGCCUCUCCCAGAGAGAAACAAGCUGGGAUAAUACACACUGAGAAGAUCUACGAUGCCAACAGGAGGGUCGAGUUUCAGUCGGGCCUCUGUCCCGUCCUGGGAUUACACAUUUCAUAGAAGUAUGUGUCUCCACUGUAUACGUAUGUACAGAGAGGAAUCCUAAGUAAACGAGAAGAUUACCACUUCUCUCCAUGGCUCAUUUCAGCCACAUGGCACAGUGGCAUUUAUUUUCAUAGCUUUGACUCCUAAAGAGGCUCACAGGACAACGAGCUGUUUAAGGGGGGUGGCCCCAGAAGAACACGGCACAGCACAGGUGUGCUAUUGGUGGCCACGACCAGUGUGGAGAAGCCCACAGACCCGUUUCCACACUGGGAAGGAGUGCGUCCCUGCGAGAAUGAGGCCACAUGCCUCCAUCCUGAGAGCCAACAGUCAGGGCUCAUUGUCAGAGAACAGUAACCAAGCGCAUUCCCCAGGAGCCCCCAGCUCCUUCCUGGGCAGGUGCCAGGCUCACAGCUGCAAGGGCUCUGGCUCUAACUGGGGCCGGCGAUUGUGGGAGAGAGAAGCACGAAUGUAAAACCAGGAACAAGACACGCGAUCUAGGGCUUAAAAGCGACCGUGCAUGCGGCCCAAGCGCCAAGCGGCGAAAGCGGGAGUCAGAGGCGAGCAGCGGAGAGAACAUGCGGGAACGGUCAAAAACAGCAGUGUCAUUCCUGGCCAUCCCAGUCACGGUGUGCACAAAGACACGCGUGGUGAUCCGCCGUGAUGAAAGGCACAGGUCUGGGAGCCAGACUGUGGUUUCAUACCUCGCUUCUGCCGCUCGCUGGUUGUGUGACCCUG